AUUGAACGCUGGCGGCAGGCCUAACACAUGCAAGUCGAGCGGAGCGGCGGCCGGGUGAGUAAUGCCUAGGAAUCUGCCUGGUAGUGGGGGGUAACGUACGGAAACGGGAGCUAAUACCGCAUACUAUCCAAUGAGACUAUGUCGGAUUAGCUAGUUGGUGGGGUAAAGGCCUACCAAGGCGACGAUCCGUAACUGGUCUGAGAGGAUGAUCAGUCACACUGGAACUGAGACACGGUCCAGACUCAGCCGGUAGGCAGCAGGGGGGAAUAUGGGACAAGGGGCGAAAGCCUGAGCCAGCCAUGCCGCGUGUGUGAAGAAGGGCUUCGGAUUGUAAAGCACUUUAAGUUGGGAGGCGUUACCAACAGAAUAAGCACCGGCUAACUUCGUGCCAGCCGCCGCGGUAAUUC
rnacentral:rRNA from 1 species